rnacentral:rRNA from 2 species
UAAUACGAAGGGGGCUAGCGUUGUUCGGAAUCACUGGGCGUAAAGCGCACGUAGGCGGACCAUUAAGUCAGGGGUGAAAGCCUGGAGCUCAACUCCAGAACUGCCUUUGAUACUGAUGGUCUCGAGUUCGGAAGAGGUUGGUGGAACUGCGAGUGUAGAGGUGAAAUUCGUAGAUAUUCGCAAGAACACCAGUGGCGAAGGCGGCCAACUGGUCCGAUACUGACGCUGAGGUGCGAAAGCGUGGGGAGCAAACAGG